ACUGCACUCCAAGAAUUUAACUGCUUAUCUAAGUAGAAUGACAAGACACCUAGCAAUGUUUGCCAAUUGCUGCAUGCAAAUUUGAAGUUGAUGACUUUAAAGCUACAUGUUCUAAGCUCAAUUUAUCCAAGAAAGAUCAUCAAACAUGACAACAUCAGCAUAGAAAAAUAGGUGAUAAAGAUAGGAAAUAGAGAAAUAAAUGGAGCUGUCUGAAGGCGCAGCUGUCAUCCUGGAACUUAAAGUGAUGUGGCACUAGAAUGCCACCCAUGAAGAGUGACAUAGAAGGAAGAUGAAGUAGCCUGGAUCCUAGACAGUGACUCCACCUGUCUGAAAUCACCCGCUUCUGGAUUUACUGCAUAUGCAAAUGCAAAAAUUUUGUGUU